rnacentral:tRNA from 1 species
UCCGUUAUGGUCUACUGGUUAGGAUAUCUGGCUUUCACCCAGAAGGUCCGGGUUCGAUUCCCGGUAACGGAA